AUUGAACGCUGGCGGCAGGCCUAACACAUGCAAGUCGAGCGGAUGAAGGGAGCUUGCUCCUGGAUUCAGCGGCGGACGGGUGAGUAAUGCCUAGGAAUCUGCCUGGUAGUGGGGGAUAACGUCCGGAAACGGGCGCUAAUACCGCAUACGUCCUGAGGGAGAAAGUGGGGGAUCUUCGGACCUCACGCUAUCAGAUGAGCCUAGGUCGGAUUAGCUAGUUGGUGGGGUAAAGGCCUACCAAGGCGACGAUCCGUAACUGGUCUGAGAGGAUGAUCAGUCACACUGGAACUGAGACACGGUCCAGACUCCUACGGGAGGCAGCAGUGGGGAAUAUUGGACAAUGGGCGGAAGCCUGAUCCAGCCAUGCCGCGUGUUUGAAGAAGGUCUUCGGAUUGUAAAGCACUUUAAGUUGGGAGGAAGGGCAGUAAGUUAAUACCUUGCUGUUUUGACGUUACCAACAGAAUAAGCACCGGCUAACUUCGUG
rnacentral:rRNA from 1 species